UAUAUGUCUCUUGUACAUCUGUUAACUGUUAACCAAAUGCAUGCUUGUCAGCUUGAGUACCUCUCUCUGUAAAAGCAUCUUUACCUUUAAGAGUUGCUGCUUUCCCCUCCCUCCCCCUUUCUGUCUUACCUCCAUCCCCUUUGCGUGCCUCCAUCUUGCUUCUCAGACAAAGCUCCUUUUAUUCCUGCUUUGUCUGGUGCCCACCUGUUGGCCCUGCUUUCCAUCACCGAGCCUGCAGUAGGAAGACCCCGGUAGCUCCGGGCCACCCCGCCGUGUCUUUGAUCGUUUAUGUGCCCUGCAGCCGACGUCACUUGACUCGGGGAGAAGAAUGUAUGCGGUAGAGGCUGUAGCAGAGGCGUUGAUGGUGGGGGAGGGGCAAGAUUCCCGUCCUCCUGCAGACUUCAUCAAAUGCCCUGGCUUUCCACCGUGAGGUCACACUGUGUGGCCUCUAUGAAAUAGUCCACAAUGACAGGGAGCCGCUCAGACACUCAUCCCUGGGAAAUGAGAUGCCUCCGUGUUGUUUUUUUACAGGGACUUUGAGAUGUGCCACAACUUUAGUGGGAGGUGAUGAUUAUUGGCCACUGUCAACCUACGUACUGCGGGACUGGAACAGAAAAGCUUUCAGGACACUUGUCUCAGAAAAGUAGAUUCUGCUCAAGGAGGACACUUAACAGGAUCCCGUGAGUGAAAGUGCUGGUUCUGGGCGGGCGGAUAGAGGAGGCCAACAAGGGUGGGUGUCCCUUUGCCCUUGCUGGCUGUGCAGGCUCAGACCAUCCAUCUCUGUCAGAGGCAAGCAUCUCAGGACCUCCCCACACCCCACCAUCUCCACCAAUCCAAUCCGGAGGCCGUGUCUCGCAGGCACGUCAGUGCUAAAUGAAGCUUUUACACAAUAUUGACUGGCCCCCCAAGUCUCUCUACUGGUCAGGCUGGGGGGAAACAGCCAAUCAUAUUUUCUUAUCCCCUGCUUCCCGGACUGGAGUGUGAAUGGUACGAGGAGGGUUGAUUACAAAGGAUGGGGGAUGCAGUGCUGAGCAGAACAGGUAAAAUGGAAGUGGUGAUUCAUAGUGUGACACCAGCAGUGGCUUUAUAGCGAGUAAAGCCUACAGUUUGCACAGACUGCUGUCACCUUUUGUGUUUACAAGUCAAUUAUCUAGGCACUGAACCAGUAUGACUGUUCACUUCUCAAUACGACUUCAAAUGGACCCAAUGCCGCUAGGAGUGUAUUCAUAUCAGGCAAGGACAAAAGACUUGCAAGGCAUUUAAGCAGC